UGUGUUCUUUGGUGCAAUUUAGAAAAAGGC
rnacentral:piRNA from 1 species